UGGCUGAGCGGUAAAAGCGCUUGGCUUCCGAACCGGGGGUCCCGGGUUCGAAUCCUGG
rnacentral:tRNA from 1 species